rnacentral:rRNA from 1 species
GGGCCCGCACAAGCGGAGGAACAUGUGGUUUAAUUCGAUGAUACGCGAGGAACCUUACCCGGGCUUGAACUAUGGUGGACCGUUCCAGAGAUGGAUCUUCCCUUCGGGGCCGCCAUGGAGGUGCUGCAUGGUUGUCGUCAGCUCGUGCCGUGAGGUGUCGGCUUAAGUGCCAUAACGAGCGCAACCCUUUCCGUUAGUUGCCAUCAGGUAAUGCUGGGGACUCUAUCGGUACUGCCAUCGUAAGAUGUGAGGAAGGUGGGGAUGACGUCAAAUCAGCACGGCCCUUACGUCCGGGGCUACACACGUGUUACAAUGGGGGGUACAGAGGGCUGCCACCUGGUGACAGGGAGCCAAUCCCGAAAACCCUUCUCAGUUCGGACUGGAGUCUGCAACCCGACUCCACGAAGCUGGAUUCGCUAGUAAUCGCGCAUCAGCCAUGGCGCGGUGAAUACGUUCCCGGGCCUU